rnacentral:rRNA from 1 species
GGAGGGGGCUAGCGUUGUUCGGAUUUACUGGGCGUAAAGCGCACGUAGGCGGAUCGAUCAGUCAGGGGUGAAAGGCCUGGGCUCAACCCGGGAACUGCCUUUGAUACUGUCGAUCUUGAAUCCGGGAGAGGUAAGCGGAAUUCCAAGUGUAGAGGUGAAAUUCGUAGAUAUUUGAAGAACACCAGUGCGAAGGCGGCUUACUGGACCGGUAUUGACGCUGAUGUGCGAAAGCGUGGGGAGCGAACAGGAUUAGAUACCCUGGUAGUCCACGCCGUAAACGAUGAGUGCUAGUUGUCGGGGUUCGGCCUUCGGUGACGCAGCUAACGCGUUAA